UCCAUGAACGGGGCGCAGCCUGCUCCGCCCUGCCGCGUGGAUGAUGAAGGCCUUAGGGUUGUAAAGUCCUCUUAACGGGGAAGAUAAUGACGGUACCCGUAGAAUAAGCCCCGGCUAACUUCGUGCCAGCAGCCGCGGUAAUACGAAGGGGGCUAGCGUUGCUCGGAAUUACUGGGCGUAAAGCGCACGUAGGCGGGUUCUUAAGUCGGUGGUGAAAUCCUGGAGCUCAACUCCAGAACUGCCUUCGAUACUGGGAAUCUUGAGUCCGGGAGAGGUGAGUGGAACUGCGAGUGUAGAGGUGAAAUUCGUAGAUAUUCGCAAGAACACCAGUGGCGAAGGCGGCUCACUGGCCCGGUACUGACGCUGAGGUGCGAAA
rnacentral:rRNA from 1 species